GGGACCUCACUAUCUAAAUGAGUAUUAUAAAUGUGAGAUAAUAAUUUAUCUGUAUUAGGAUGUUUAUUCAAACAUUCAUCAAGAGUCUCUGGCUCUCUAAUUCUGUAUUCUUGUAAAUCUUUUGCUCUUC